AACAAGGCGUACCUGCGGACCUGCGGAGGGAUCAUUAUCGAAUAAAACAUGGAUUAGGCUGUUGCUGACUUUUUGUACGUGCACGCCUAUUCCAUUUUUAUUAAACCACCUGUGCACUUUUGCGUAGAUCUGAGAAAAUCUUUCGAGUUGCGCGCAGCUCGGUUGAAGGGAUUGCUGUGUGCUUAUUUGCCAGCUUUUCCUUAUUCUAUCGCAGAUCUAUGCUCAUUACACAUACUCCAU
rnacentral:misc_RNA from 1 species